CAGAAAUUCCUUCUCAUCUCCUGCCUCCCUCCUCCCCCAGCAUCCUCCUCUGACUGGUUCCCAGAACUCCCUGGGUUUGACGGGGAGUGUUUAUGUCAACAUCUCCACGACCGUGAAAGUGAAUCAUCCUGUGCCUUUUAGGAACCCUGAGAGCCAGUCCCCUAUCACCAGGGGUCGUGCUGGAGAGACGCUGGGGACACAGAAGAGCUUUGGUAUUCCUCUUGGUGGAGAGAGAGGGCAGUCACCCUAGCUGGCCAAGAUUGCCUGAAUUUCUACCCCCUCCACAUCAGGCCAUGGUUCCUGCUGGACAGGAAGAACAUUCUGGCUCAUCAUGCAGCCCUGGUGCCACCAUCCACCACUGCCUUGCUGUCUACACUGCCAGCACCCUCAUUACUGCUCCUCCCAGGCAUCAGUGACAGGUAAAGCGCUCACAAGCAUUGGAUGUAGAGUUAUAGAAGUACCGGUGCAAAGCAGCUUUGCAGGGGCCCCUCGCUUCGGGGAGCUGGCACAGGUCAGGGGGCAUUUGGAACAAGUCCUGGGAAGCCUCUUGUUUGAGAUUGUCUGCAAAGGAGACACGGGUUCUAUCCCUGAUCUGGGAAGAUCCGACUUCCCAAGGAGCAGCUAAGCUCAUGGGCCACAACUACUCAACCUGUGCUCUAGAGCCCAGAAACUGCAACUACUGAAGCCUGCGUGCCCUACGGCUUGUGCUCCACGAAAAGAGAAACCACCACAACGAGAAACCUGUGCACCGCAACCAUAGAGCCGCCCCUGCUCGCCACAGCUAGAGAAGACCCAGCAGAGCAAAAAAUAAAUAAACAAAUAUAAAUAAUAAAAAAAUUAAAAGAAAAAGAAAGUAGGUCUUGACUUACAAGUGAC